rnacentral:rRNA from 1 species
CAUCCUGGGGCUGAAGCAGGUCCCAAGGGUAUGGCUGUUCGCCAUUUAAAGAGGUACGCGAGCUGGGUUUAGAACGUCGUGAGACAGUUCGGUCCCUAUCUACCGUGGGCGUUGGAAAUUUGAGAGGAUCUGCUCCUAGUACGAGAGGACCAGAGUGGACGAACCUCUGGUGUUUCGGUUGUGACGCCAGUCGCAUUGCCGAGUAGCUAUGUUCGGAUGGGAUAACCGCUGAAAGCAUCUAAGCGGGAAGCCCACCUUAAGAUUAGAUUUCCCUAAAGAGCCGUUGUAGACUACGACGUUGAUAGGUUGGGUGUGGAAGCAUAGUGAUAUGUGUAGCUAACCAAUACUAAUUGCUCGUUUGGCUUGACUAUACAACGCCUAA